rnacentral:rRNA from 1 species
GACUGCCUCUGCAAGGAGGAGGAAGGCGGGGAUGACGUCAAAUCAUCAUGCCCCUUAUGACCUGGGCGACACACGUGCUACAAUGGACGGGACAGAGGGAAGCGAAGGCGCGAGCCGGAGCGGACCCCAGAAACCCGUUCCCAGUUCGGACUGCAGUCUGCAACUCGACUGCACGAAGCCGGAAUCGCUAGUAAUCGCGGAUCAGAAUGCCGCGGUGAAUACGUUCUCGGGCCUUGUACACACCGCCCGUCACACCAUGAGAGUUGGCAACACCCGAAGCCGGCGGCCCAACCCGCAAGGGAGGGAGCUGUCUAAGGUGGGGCUGAUGAUUGGGGUGAAGUCGUAACAAGGUAUCCCUACGGGAACGUGGGGAUGGAUCACCUCCUUU